UACGUAGGGUGCGAGCGUUGUCCGGAAUUACUGGGCGUAAAGAGCUCGUAGGUGGUUUGUCGCGUUGUCCGUGAAAACUCACAACUCAAUUGUGGGCGUGCGGGCGAUACGGGCAGGCUAGAGUUCGGUAGGGGAGACUGGAAUUCCUGGUGUAGCGGUGAAAUGCGUAGAUAUCGGGAGGAACACCUGAGGCGAAGGCGGGCUACUGGGCUGAUACUGACGCUGAGGCGCGAAAGCUAGGGGAGCAAACAGG
rnacentral:rRNA from 1 species